GACGAACGCUGGCGGCGUGCCUAAUACAUGCAAGUCGGGCGGACCGAACGAGGGCUUGCUCUUGUUUGGUCAGCGGCGGACGGGUGAGUAACACGCGGGCAACCUGCCCGCAAGACCGGGAUAACUCCGGGAAACCGGAGCUAAUACCGGAUAACACCGAAGACCGCAUGGUCUUCGGUUGAAAGGCGGCCUUUGGGCUGUCACUUGCGGAUGGGCCCGCGGCGCAUUAGCUAGUUGGUGAGGUAACGGCUCACCAAGGCGACGAUGCGUAGCCGGCCUGAGAGGGUGACCGGCCACACUGGGACUGAGACACGGCCCAGACUCCUACGGGAGGCAGCAGUAGGGAAUCUUCCGCAAUGGGCGAAAGCCUGACGGAGCGACGCCGCGUGAGCGAAGAAGGCCUUCGGGUCGUAAAGCUCUGUUGUGAGGGACGAAGGAGCGCCGUUCGAAGAGGGCGGCGCAGUGACGGUACCUCACGAGAAAGCCCCGGCUAACUACGUG
rnacentral:rRNA from 1 species